GGCUGUAGCUCAGUGGUAGAGAAUCUGCUUUGCAUGCAGAUUGUCCCAGAUUCAAUCCCUGGCAUCGCCA
rnacentral:tRNA from 1 species